GACCAGGAGAAACUGCUGCUGCUGAACAAGAACACUGAGCUCCGCAGAGUCAACAAGGAGCUGAUGAAGCUGAAUGAGGACUGGGACCAGGUGUACCGGAGUGCCACACUGGGUCUACAGCACAGGCUGGAGGCUUUGGAGCUGGAGAAUUCUGCCAUCAAACAGCUCAACAGUAGACUGCUGCUCAAAGUAGAGCACCAACAGAGUGCUAAAGAGUACUAUGAGCAGGCUCUGAUGCAGG